ensembl:lncRNA
UCUGUGCAUCUGGAAAGAGAGCGUGCUCCCCAGGUUCUCACUUAGGCCAAGCAUGAAGAAAACAAAGCAAAGACUCAGCAGCCUGCUAUCAUUUAGACAGGCAGAGCUCACACCAGAGAAAAAAAAAAUCCCCGUGCUCUCUGGGUGAGUGCUUAUCGUUCCUGGAGUUGGCACAGCAGAGCAGAGCUGCACAUGCUUCAGAAAGCAAAGUAAUUAAUUCUCCUUGCUCCCAGCCACAGCAGUCUCCGUUGUGCAAUGUUGCACCACAACUGGCCAUGGAGAAACUUUCUUUCCAAUCAAAAGAAGUGUUCUUUUCUUUUUUUUUUUUUUUUUGCUCUGACACAGCAGGGUUGGUCUUUCUUUCAGUGUUGCUGAAGACAAUGUCUGCCUUGCCUUUCCACGACCUUCAGUGUGUGGCUCCGUGUUAAGAUUUCCAUCUUCCUCAUUCAAACACUGGCAUUCAAACAAAAAAAGAUUAAAAUUCCUUUUGUUUAAAUCCCUAAGAGGGAGCCUUGGAGCAUGCUGCUGGUGAGACGCCAGGGUCCGGACUGGGUUGUGCUCCUGGCUCUGCUCUGGCACCAGCGUGGAUCUCAAACCCAUGGGCCCUCAAUCUGGAUGCCUGUGUUUCUGGCUGUUUGCCUAACUGUGGUUCAAGCCUGUUCAUAGCUGGGCUAGAGAACAGGAUUGGAGCUUGGUUUUCCCCAGCCUGGGGUGUGUCUCUUCUCCAUCAUGGCUCCAGAAACUGUCAGUGCCCUCUUUCUUAAGAUAAGAUGUCAGGGAAAAUGUUUCACUUAGAGGGCAGUGAGGCACUGGCACAGCUGCCCGGAGAGGCUGUGGAUGCCCUGUCCUUGGAGGCAUUCAAGGCCAGGUUGGAUGGGGCCCAGGGCAGUCUGGUCUGGUGGGGGGAGCUCUGCCUAUGGCAGGGGGUUGGAAGUAGGUGAUCUGUAAGGCCCUUUUCAACCCAAGUCAUUCUGUGUUUUGCAGCUGCUUCAGGUAUGCUCCCCAGAGUCCACCUUACCAAACUGUCCACUCUAUGUCUGUCAUGGUAUCAACUGAUUCAGUUUAGUGGUAAUUCCAAGUUGUGGCAGAGCUCCUUGGCUUUUCAUAGCCAGCUUCCUCAUCAGUAUCCUCUUUUUACAUUGAGGUGAAUUUGGGAGAGCUGGGCCCGAACCUCUGAGGCCUCAAUGUGACCGAUAAGGUGAGGCAGUAUUUGGAUCAUGAAUUGAAGCUACAGCCAACCCAAGUGGAGGUAGAUGUUCUUGGGAGCAGAGCUGAGUUUCUGUGAAACCCUGGCUGUGACAUCCCUCGUGUCAUUGCCUCUUGGAAAAGACUUGUAUGUCCUCUGGCAGGAAACCUGCUGCUUGUAACUCUAAGAUGGGAAUUUUCCUGCCUGGUGCCCAGAUCAGGUGUUUGUUUUGUUUCCUUCAAACAUACGGAAACCUUCAGCCAAAAAAACUCUCAACCACUUCCAUAAAAUCAGGCUAACCGAUUUGGCGUGCAAGAGAAAUUCCUAGUGGCAUUGAUCUUGGAAAUCUCCAGUGCCUUGCAGGGGAAUUACUGCAGAAGGGAAAUGGUUGUGCCAGUGCUGCUCUUCAUCACCCCUAGAAAAAUACAUUGAAAUUUGGUCAAACUAUAAGCAACUGGUAGUAAGAGCAUGUUCCUCUAUGUGGCGAGGCUGAGUGCACAGUGAAUGUCCAGGGAUUCUGGGGUGUUUAUUGACAGGGAAGUUGUCAAAUCCCAGUGGGCUCUUCAAGCAGCCUGGUCACCACUGCUCUGUGGUCUCUGGACGACACUUCCCAAAUGCCCACAUUCAGCUUCUGGCUUCCUCAGGCAGAGCUGUCAGGCGCCCACCUCGCUGAGAACUGGUGCAGGAGAUACAACUUGGGUGGUUGUGGACUUUCUGGGCCAAGAUAGAACAGCAGUGUCAUUGUUGAAGAAGUACUGAGAAGGAAAGGAAUGUUGGUCUCCAUGCCCUUCCACUGGCAAUGGCGGUAGUUUGGCAUCAAACUCAAAGCAGCUCAUCCUUCGGUGGGAUGCUCCUCAUGCUGAGUGUGACCAUCUGGGAUUUGUUCUGCAGGCAAGGUGAGAGCAUGAGGUGCAGUUAGGUCAGUGGUAAUCCCAUGAUAUACAAUAAAAAUGCUCAAAAAAGGUCAAGCACAGCAAAAAAACCCUGC